rnacentral:rRNA from 1 species
UACGGAGGGUGCAAGCGUUAUCCGGAUUCACUGGGUUUAAAGGGUGCGUAGGUGGGCUAGUAAGUCCGUGGUGAAAUCUCUGAGCUUAACUCGGAAACUGCCGUGGAUACUAUUAGUCUUGAAUCUCGUGGAGGUAAGCGGAAUAUGUCAUGUAGCGGUGAAAUGCUUAGAUAUGACAUAGAACACCGAUAGCGAAGGCAGCUUGCUACACGAGUAUUGACACUGAGGCACGGAAAGCGUGGGAUCAAACAG